GAAAUCCUUCCAUGUAUAAUUCCAAGUCUCAAUAUUUAAUUUUCCUGACAGUAAUUUGUGAACCAUUUUCUGCACUUUAUUUGGGUUAAUGUUGGUUCCUCUUUUGGUAGCCUCCAGACAUUUUGAUUACUAAUGUUAUUCCGCAUUUUAUUUCCAAUCCCUUUUUGAUGAAGGUUUGGAAUUCGCUGUGUUAUGCAGUUUAAGAUCAGCUCUACUUCGCUUUCGCUGAACAGUGUCGUCUUCGUAAUUUCCGACUUCCAGACGUUGGUAAGCUUGCCUACACCAUUGGCAAUCGUUUAAAUAUUGCCCUUACUCUGCUCAAUCGCAUUUGCCAUUCGAUUGAGCUGCUUCGUUGUUGCUAUUGUUUUAGCGAUAGAAAACAUUGACCAAAUGAAUAUUAUGGUAUGCUGAUGAGUAGAGAUCCUUAGAAGCGAUAAAAAUGCGACUCGGUUUCAUUUAUAUAAACUCGACUGUUAUGGCAACGACCAGCUUCAUGCUCUGUUAUUUCCACAAACUCAAACGACAAAAUGACACCAUGGAUAAGCCAGCCGGCGGAAGACCUGUGUCGACGAAUACCGAUCGAAUCAUGGAAAACAUCGAGUUAGACCGGUAUGUGGCAUCUCGAGACAUCGCCUAGGAAAUGGGACCAUUUUAAAUCAGAAGGCUGGAUACACAAAAAAGCUUGAUGUUUGGGUACCGCAUGAUUUGACGCAAAAACCUUCUUGACCGAAUCAACUCCUGCGAUUUGUUACUGAAACGGAAUCAACUCGAGCCAUUUUUGAAGCGGAUUGUGACUGGCGACGAAAAAUGAAAAAUGGAUCACAUACGACAAUAUCAAGCGAAAACGGUCGUGGUCGAUGGCCGGUGAAUCGCAUCCAUCAUAUAGCCGGACAUAGCGCCAAAUGAUUACCACCUGUUCCUGACGAACGCCAUUGGUGGUGUAAAGUUAAACUCAAAAGAGACUUGGGAAAAGUGGCUGUCCGAGUUCUUCGCAACUAAGGAUGUGCGCUUCUAUGAGGGGGGUAUUAUGAUGUUGCCGUCUAGAUGGAAUAUCGUACUGUAACACUUUUUAUAAAGUAUUGAAUAAAAAACAAAAAAGCGGAAGGGGGAUAUUUGCCAACCUAGUAUCUUUAUAUUAUAUUCACCCUAUUUUUUUAAGUUUACGCAAAGAACUCCAUAUUAUAAAAUAACUUUAUACUUUUAAAAUUUGCUCUACAUAUUCAAAAGUACCAACUUCCUGUCAACGCGCUCAUUUUCUUCAAUAAAUUAACACAAGUAAUGUACUUACUAAUUUCACGAUAGCAGAACUUAAGUAAUUUACAUAUUGGUCAGUGAAUAAUUUUUUACAGCAUACUCGCGCACAUUAUCAGCGCCAACAAAUUGCAUGUUUUGCAACUUGCGAUAGUGAAAUUUGUGUGCUUUUUCGCAUUUAAAACUCAACUAUUCCUGCAGCGCGGCGGUUGCUUUGACUUUCUUCGCCGCUUUCUUGGCUGUCUGGCUGACGCAAGUGGGUCAAGCACACAUACAUACUCAUUUGUACAACGGACGAGCGAAAAUAAAAGUCAAACGGGCGAGAAAGCACUUGAAGUCGGCACACACAAAACUACUCGCUUACUAUCGUGUUGUGUUGUAGGGACACAAAGGCACACCACAUGCCCCACCAUUAAUGUAACAGCGGUGAGGGGCGCACUGGCAGCAACAAAGCAACAACAUGGAAUGUUGGUCUUUGUUAAGGACACCAUAAUGAUGCGUGGGUUCAAGCUCUUUGCCUAGAUGUUACCCCUACUGUUGUUGUUGUUGUAGUGACGAUUAUCUAUCCCGAUUCUAACAGGGUUAGAUCGUCGAAAGGGCAGCUUUGACCGGGUCAACUCCGAUAGCGUAGAACCGGCUGCGGUGGGAGUUGUUACCCCUACUUGUGCUGAAGGCUUAAGUCGUUAAUACACACUGCUGGAAGGACUAAACUCUGCUGCUUUAGAUCCUUGCAGUGCCUAUUUGUGCAUCGUUCUUGGCUAGUUUUGUUUUUCUCAUCAAUGUUUUGCGCGUAAAUUCCAUCCGCUGUCAGAGCAGCCAGCACCGUUGGCCAUACGGAAAGCAAUCACCCAAUGCGGCUUACAGCACUCACUGCUCCCCUACCACCUCGGAACAGGCACACCAUUGGAGUGCUUCUCUCAAAAACUCUCGGUGAUCUUGGUGAUCUUGCAGGGUUUCGUAGUCUACUUUCUCUUUUGCUUCGCCAAUCAUGACGUCACAUUCACCAUACGCACUCUCUUGAGUCGGCUAAUGACCGACUUGGUCUCACCACCCAUGCGGGACAAAUGGCAACGACAACACUAAGUUGCGGGUUGGGUGUGUAAGCGGUGGGAGAAGGAACUAGGAGAAGGGCACAUGGAAACUACAGUUACCUUGUAUACAGGCGGACGGACCUUGUAUAGAAGAAGAAUAAGCUAAAGGCGGGGUAAACAGAACCAGGACACAACCAUAUAGAUGUGAAGAAUAUUAAGUAUUUAAUUUUGAAAGGUUUAUGGAAAUUACUCUCCAAGAGAACCAAAUUAUGCAGGAAAGAAUUAUACUCAACGCCACUAACAAAAAACAAACAAGACAUGAAGAUAAUUAAAUAUAAAUAAUUCAUGUAUAUUAUAUAUCAACUAUACUAUCACUCUAAUUUAUUUAAAAGCACAUGGAAAUACAUUUAUGGGUAAAAAUAAAUAAAUUGAAACAAAAAAUUUUAAAUUCUUUCAAUUAAAUCACAGGCUACAAUUAUUGUUGUAAGUUGGCUUUUAUUAUGUUAAGAAAGUGGCGGUACUUCAAAAUAAUGAUACUCUAAGUGACCGCCAGGCCUCCCUGCAGCUAACUGUGUCCAAAAACUCCCGAUAAAAUUAACAUUAACUGACGUUUUGUUGGUCACUUCCGGUCAAUGUAAACUUCCGGUCCCGCCACAUCCCGCUUCCGUUGUUUAAAAUAUGCCCCUUUGCAUAUGCAACACCAUGGCUCAGCUCCGCCGCCGCCUCUGCCAGCGCCGCUGCCGGAAAAAUGCAUUUCAACUUUUUGCCAAAAACUGGGAUUUCUACCAGGCGAUCAGGAGCAGGCAGCAGGUGGAUUUCUGCCUGAUACUGUUAAGGCACUGUUAACUGUACAGACUGUUAUGUUAACGGACAGUAGAAUGUUAUUGUCCAUGUUAAGCUACUGCAAAAGGUGCAGAAAUCAUGUAAUCACGCUUUUUGCCAAAACUUCGUGGUUUCUUAAUAUUUUUCGAGGUUUUUUUGUUUAAAUUGUUGCAUUAUUUUGGCGAAAAAUUAUAAGAACAAAUUCCAUGGCAAAGUGAUUAAAAUUGAAUAAAUAUUUAAUAAUAUAACAUAGUACUAUCUUUGCUGUUAGUAGGCUUUCAAACUUUUACAAAAAAUCGAGCUACUUCUCAUUAAUGGUACUCAGAAUAAUCUACAGGCCUCCCUGCAACUUUCUAUGCCCAUAAUGUCCAACUAAAGUUAGCAUAUGCUGGUGUUUUAUGCUGUUUUCUCAUAUUUGUUGCCGAUUGCAACAUAUUUUAAUUUUUUAUAAAUGUUUACAGUGCAACAACAACAACCAUUUUUUAUACACUUGUUGGCCAUGCGAUUCUGAAGAGACCAGUAAAAACCGCAUUGCUCUAAGUGCCUCCGUUUGGCCACAAUUCGCAUUUUUCUAUUUCGCAGCCACCUACUGCCUGCUCCUGGUCGCCUGGUAGAAAUCCCAAUUUUUGGCAUCAAGUUAAAAUGCAUUUUUUCGCAGCCGACGUCGGCAGCGCCGGACAGCAGCGAAACGCAAAUGUUUCUAACUUUUGAACCAGAGGUCGGAUUUGGGUGAUCUAAAUUUUGAAUUUUGCAGAAACGCAUGGACUAUAAUCGUAAAUAAGUGGAUUCCUUGUUGUAAUUACCCGGGAGUUUAUAAAAUUAAAAAUGUGAUGCAAAUCGCGAAUUUUCAUGGAAAUUACACGCGAAAUACCUUCGUUUGCUUAAUUAUGUUUCAGGAAAUGAUGUUAGUAGUUGCCAUGUGUCAUUAGCCACCCACUCAAUGCCUCACAUGUUCAAUAAAACCCAUUUUUUAUACAAUAUUUUACUUUUAAUGUUUGCACUAAUUGCAUAAUUUAUUGCACAAUAUACGCAACAUUUUGUUGUUGGAACGAAUGCUUUUGUAUGCCAGACAGUAAUUAUUCACUUUCUACUUCACUUUUAUAUUCUCUUUUUCUUUUAUACACGUGCAAACGCUGGUUGU